UACAGAGGGUGCGAGCGUUAAUCGGAAUUACUGGGCGUAAAGCGUGCGUAGACGGUAGCGUAAGUCAGAUGUGAAAGCCCCGGGCUCAACCUGGGAAUUGCAUUUGAGACUGCUCUGCUCGGGUGCGGAAGAGGGAAGCGGAAUUUCCGGUGUAGCGGUGAAAUGCGUAGAUAUCGUGAGGAACACCAGAGGCGAAGGCGGCUACCUGGACAAUUGCUGACGCUCAGGCACGAAAGCGUGGGGAGCAAAAGGG
rnacentral:rRNA from 1 species